AUCAUUUCACACAUUUAAUGAAUUUGGGUGUCUUUUACAUUCAAAACACUUACAAUCAGGCCAAAAAAAAAAAAAAAAAACUCACCCAAAAAAAAAAAAACCCUUUCUUUAACACAAUAGGCAGUAGCAAGACAGCAAACGCCACUUCAAGACUGAAUUUCUGAAACUGGCCCUUUAGCUGAGAGUGGCCAUCCUUGCCGGGGCGGGCGAUUUACUAGUUUACUAACAUUGUUACCAGGCAGCAGCCCUGGCAGCAUUUUACUAAAUCCUCAACAAGAAAACUCGCAACUCGUCUGAAGUUUCAGUUUGUUUGUUGUUACUGGAGUUAUAUCAGGGAGUUCUUUUCUAUGCCAGACUGGAGUUCAGAUUUAAAUCUUGCCCAACUCAAAAGCAAGCGCACAGGAAACACGAACCUCGCCGCCGUGAGAGCAGCCUGAGUGAGCCAGCACUCACCAAGGAAAGGGCUGCAGGUUCGCUUGAGAGUGAGGAUCAGCCGAAUUCCUCACGCUGCUCACUGAGACUUCCCCUCACUGAGACUUCACGCUCCUCACUGUCGGCUAUCGGCCGACAGAAGAUCUCACAUCCAAGUCACAAAGACUCAGAACCUUCUUCAACAAGAAACGUCACUUACAACGUGUUUGCUUCUCCAUCUCUAAGCUCAAAGUGCCCCGUUUCUCUACAGCAAAUUAGACUUUUUGCCUACUUUGGUGCUGAGAAGCCCAAACUACCAACCAAAGCUUUGGUUUUCUCUGAGGGCUGUCGGUACAGACGAGAGGCCGGGAUUGUUCUCUAGCAACCCCUGCCGGUUGACAAUAAAUGCCAGAAACUGACCCAGAGGCAUUAGUUCAUCCCCACGUUGGAGGGAAGUAAAAAAUGUCAGGCUGAGGGAGAGCAGGUAGCACCUGAACGGCUAAAACGUAGAUACGUCCGUGACCCAACUUCAACCAACCACGCAACGUCAAUGACCCAGGGGAUGCUGGAGCAACAGGAAGGAAGGAAUUGAUUGAACAAUCACGUGGAGCAAAGCCACGUUGUUAUUUAGGGCUACUACUUAAAUCAGAGAUCAUCUCUGUCUUCUUUAAGCCACUUCAGUUUGGAGGCUUUUUGUUCUAACAGAUGGUGUUGUUAACUGCCUCCCCGCCAUUCAUUCUCCCUUCUCCUGGCAACAAUAUUUUGAUACCCCUUGGAGGAACUUACCUCUCUCUCAUUCUUUGCCAUGUGAUUAGAAUGGGAAUGAACCCCUUCCAGUUCUGGGGAUAGUUCUUGACUGGCUGAAGCCAUUGAAAUAGCUUUUUCCUGUGGAGGCUCGGAAGACAAUACUCCAAAGGACUGCAUUUUGCCAAGGCAUAGAAACUAGAACUCCUCUCCCUCAAAGCAAGCCAUAAAACCUAGAAAUGUCACUCUCUGACCUUCUCCCUGAAGACCCU
rnacentral:lncRNA from 1 species